rnacentral:rRNA from 1 species
UCCUACGGGAGGCAGCAGUGAGGAAUAUUGGUCAAUGGACGCAAGUCUGAACCAGCCAUGCCGCGUGCAGGAUGACGGCUCUAUGAGUUGUAAACUGCUUUUGUACGAGGGUAAACGCAGAUACGUGUAUCUGUCUGAAAGUAUCGUACGAAUAAGGAUCGGCUAACUCCGUGCCAGCAGCCGCGGUAAUACGGAGGAUUCAAGCGUUAUCCGGAUUUAUUGGGUUUAAAGGGUGCGUAGGCGGUUUGAUAAGUUAGAGGUGAAAUUUCGGGGCUCAACCCUGAACGUGCCUCUAAUACUGUUGAGCUAGAGAGUAGUUGCGGUAGGCGGAAUGUAUGGUGUAGCGGUGAAAUGCUUAGAGAUCAUACAGAACACCGAUUGCGAAGGCAGCUUACCAAACUAUAUCUGACGUUGAGGCACGAAAGCGUGGGGAGCAAACAGGAUUAGAUACCCUGGUAGUCCACGCAGUAAACGAUGAUAACUCGUUGUCGGCGAUACACAGUCGGUGACUAAGCGAAAGCGAUAAGUUAUCCACCUGGGGAGUACGUUCGCAAGAAUGAAACUCAAAGGAAUUGACGGGGGCCCGCACAAGCGGAGGAACAUGUGGUUUAAUUCGAUGAUACGCGAGGAACCUUACCCGGGCUUGAAAGUUAGCGACGAUUCUUGAAAGAGGAUUUCCCUUCGGGGCGCGAAACUAGGUGCUGCAUGGUUGUCGUCAGCUCGUGCCGUGAGGUGUCGGGUUAAGUCCCAUAACGAGCGCAACCCCUACCGUUAGUUGCCAUCAGGUCAAGCUGGGCACUCUGGCGGGACUGCCGGUGUAAGCCGAGAGGAAGGUGGGGAUGACGUCAAAUCAGCACGGCCCUUACGUCCGGGGCUACACACGUGUUACAAUGGUAGGUACAGAGGGCAGCUACCCAGCGAUGGGAUGCGAAUCUCGAAAGCCUAUCUCAGUUCGGAUUGGAGGCUGAAACCCGCCUCCAUGAAGUUGGAUUCGCUAGUAAUCGCGCAUCAGCCAUGGCGCGGUGAAUACGUUCCCGGGCCUUGUACACACCGCCCGUCAAGCCAUGGGAGCCGGGGGUACCUGAAGUGCGUAACCGCGAGGAGCGCCCUAGGGUAAAACUGGUGACUGGGGCUAAGUCGUAACAAGGUAGCCGUACCGGAAGGUGCGGCUG